rnacentral:rRNA from 1 species
UCAUGGCUCAGGAUGAACGCUGGCGGCGUGCUUAACACAUGACAAGUCGAACGGAGUUUUAACGGAAGUUUCGGAUGGAAGUUUAGAAACUUAGUGGCGGACGGGUGAGUAACGCGUGGGUAACCUGCCUCAUACAGGGGGAUAACAGUUAGAAAUGACUGCUAACACCGCAUAAUAUAGCGAAACCGCAUGAUUUUUGCUAUCAAAUAUUUAUAGGUAUGAGAUGGGCCCGCGUCUGAUUAGCUAGUUGGUGGGGUAAAAGCCUACCAAGGCGACGAUCAGUAGCCGGCUUGAGAGAGUGACCGGCCACAUUGGGACUGAGACACGGCCCAAACUCCUACGGGAGGCAGCAGUGGGGAAUAUUGGACAAUGGGGGAAACCCUGAUCCAGCGAACCGCCGCGUGAGUGAAGAAGUAUUUCGGUAUGUAAAGCUCUAUCAGCAGGGAAGAUAAUGACAGUACCUGACUAAGAAGCCCCGGCUAACUACGUGCCAGCCGCAGC